GAGAAAGUAUGCAGGAACUGCUAAUUCCUCACCCCGUGCCUAAUACCACGGCUCUCUCG
rnacentral:tRNA from 1 species